rnacentral:lncRNA from 10 species
GAAUUUAUCCGAGAACAACUGGAGCUACUCCAGACCACCGGAGGCAUCCAAGGGACAUUGCCACUGACUGUCCAGAAGGUGUUGGCAUCCCAAGCCUGCCAUGGGGCCAUUAAGUUUAAUGAUGGCCUGAGCUUACAGGAAAGUUGCCGCCUUAUUGAAGCUCUGUCCUCAUGCCAGCUGCCAUUCCAGUGUGCUCACGGGAGACCUUCUAUGCUGCCGUUAGCUGACAUAGACCACUUGGAACAGGAAAAACAGAUUAAACCCAACCUCACUAAACUUCGCAAAAUGGCCCAGGCCUGGCGUCUCUUUGGAAAAGCAGAGUGUGAUACAAGGCAGAGCCUGCAGCAAUCCAUGCCUCCCUGUGAGCCACCAUGAGAACAGAAUCACUGGUCUAAAAGGAACAAAGGGAUGUUCACUGUAUGCCUCUGAGCAGAGAGCAGCAGCAGCAGGAAACCAAUUCGUGCUCAUGGAAGAAAAGUUCCUUUGCCAGCAGCCUUGAAGUGAAUCUUACAGGAGCAAUGAAAGUAUUGCAUUCAUUAGCGUCUGCCCCAGAGAAGGUUCAGAGAAAACCUUCACUUGUUUUCAAGGGGAUCCUUGUAGAUUUACGUAAUUGGAAUCCUGAAGAACAGGCCCUACUGUCUAAAAAAUGGCUUUUAUUCUUCUAAAUACAUAUAAACGGAUGUUUUAUAGAUGGGAAGACAUGACCUUAGAAAGGAGAGAGUUUUCAGAGGAUUUGCCAGGCUGUCAGGGGCUCUGCCUCCAGGCCCAGUGUGGCAGUGUGGCCUCAGGGCCUCCGCCUCCCUGCUUGAGGGCUGCAUGGAGGCC